UACGUAGGGAGCGAGCGUUAUCCGGAGUUACUGGGCGUAAAGGGCAUGCAGGCGGUCCGACACGUUUUGUGUGACAGCGGGUGGCUUAACUACCCGAGGAUACGAAAGACGGUUGGACUUGAGGACUCGAGAGGGACACGGAAUUCCGGGUGGAGUGGUGAAAUGCGUAGAGAUCCGGAGGAACACCGAAGGCGAAGGCAGUGUCCUGGCGAGUGACUGACGCUGAGGUGCGAAAGCCAGGGGAGCGAACGGG
rnacentral:rRNA from 1 species